rnacentral:rRNA from 1 species
UACGUAGGGUGCGAGCGUUGUCCGGAAUUAUUGGGCGUAAAGGGCUCGUAGGCGGUCUGUCACGUCGGGAGUGAAAACUCAGGGCUUAACCCUGAGCCUGCUUCCGAUACGGGCUGACUAGAGGUAUGCAGGGGAGAACGGAAUUCCUGGUGUAGCGGUGAAAUGCGCAGAUAUCAGGAGGAACACCGGUGGCGAAGGCGGCGACCUGGGUAGAUACUGACGCUGAGGUGCGAAAGCGUGGGGAGCAAACAGG